rnacentral:lncRNA from 1 species
GCCACCCCGGGCCCCACCACUUCUGCCAGCACCGCGGCCACCACUGCAGCUGACCUCUGGGACCUGGAGGGGAAAAGGAGUUCAGGGUCUUGGCUCCUGAAUAAGGAAGCAGUGGUCAGGUUGGCCCUGCCCAGCGCUGUGCUCAAGAUCGCAAUUUUGGGACUGAUGGUCUUCCUCAGGUGGAAGAGAAGCAAAGGUCUGCAGACUAAAGCCAGAACCCCCGCCAGAGGAUCCUUCCAGAAUCUGGAGGAGAAAUACGAGAACAUUGGGAACAAAGGUAAGUCCCGCCACCAUGGUUCCUGCUCUCCACCUGGGCCUUCCUUCCUCCCCACACCCCCUCCCCACACACCUGCCCUCAGCAUCCUCCUCUCUCCCCUGCCUCACCCACCUUCCCCCAGACGACCUCACCCCUGGAACCCCCUGCCCAUUUCUCUACCCUGCCUGCCAGCCCACCUGACCUGGAGCUUCUUGACUGGUUUUAGAGCAACAGACAGACCCCAAGGAGUGUCAUAAGAGAAGCAGCUCAGACCUGGCCUGAAAUAUUACGGGGAAGUCUGGAGAAGGUGGGGUGGAAGGAACAGAGGGACUGUGGUGUGGGCAGGGCACUCAGCAUGGGAUCCCUGCUCUGAGAGUGGACAGCCCCCACCCCCUGUCUAACCCCCUUCCCUCUCCAUUCUCACCCAGAAUGAUGGCAUCCUCUAUGCCCCCCUCACCCUUCACAACGUGCCCUCACCGGCCGCACCUCCAUGCCCUCCCGCCCACGGGGGCCCCCAGGAAGAGACCCUGUACUCUGCCCUGAAGACCUAAGGACUGGGACGAGUGAUGACCUCCUUAGGGUCAGCCAUGCACGGGGAUCUCACUUCCCCAUAAUCAGAGCCAAACACAGACCGCUCCGAAGCCAGCAGGUGCCGAAGGCCACCGAGGACCUGAGCACCUACCUGCUCCAAUUCCUCUUCGACUGCCCAGCCCUUGACCACAUGAAUAAAAGUACCUGUGCGAUUUGCCCCA